rnacentral:rRNA from 1 species
UACGUAGGGUGCGAGCGUUAAUCGGAAUUACUGGGCGUAAAGCGUGCGCAGGCGGUUUUGUAAGCCAGAUGUGAAAUCCCCGGGCUUAACCUGGGAAUGGCAUUUGGGACUGCAAGGCUCGAGUGCGGCAGAGGAGACUGGAAUUCCUGGUGUAGCAGUGAAAUGCGUAGAUAUCAGGAGGAACACCGAUGGCGAAGGCAGGUCUCUGGGCCGUAACUGACGCUGAGGAGCGAAAGCAUGGGGAGCGAACAGG